GAUGAACGCUGGCGGCGUGCCUAAUACAUGCAAGUCGAGCGAACGGACGAGAAGCUUGCUUUUCUGAUGUUAGCGGCGGACGGGUGAGUAACACGUGGAUAACCUACCUAUAAGACUGGGAUAACUUCGGGAAACCGGAGCUAAUACCGGAUAAUAUUUUGAACCGCAUGGUUCAAAAGUGAAAGACGGUCUUGCUGUCACUUAUGGAUGGAUCCGCGCUGCAUUAGCUAGUUGGUAAGGUAACGGCUUACCAAGGCAACGAUGCAUAGCCGACCUGAGAGGGUGACCGGCCACACUGGAACUGAGACACGGUCCAGACUCCUACGGGAGGCAGCAGUAGGGAAUCUUCCGCAAUGGGCGAAAGCCUGACGGAGCAACGCCGCGUGAGUGAUGAAGGUCUUCGGAUCGUAAAACUCUGUUAUUAGGGAAGAACAUAUGUGUAAGUAACUGUGCACAUCUUGACGGUACCUAAUCAGAAAGCCACGGCUAACUACGUG
rnacentral:rRNA from 1 species